rnacentral:tRNA from 1 species
GCGCCUGUAGCUCAAACGGAUAGAGUCACGGUCUACGAAACCGGAGGUUACAGGUUCGAGUCCUGUCAGGCGCG